rnacentral:rRNA from 1 species
UACAUGCAAGUCGAGCGAGGGUCUUCGGACCCUAGCGGCGGACGGGUGAGUAACACGUAGGCAACCUGCCUGUAAGACUGGGAUAACAUAGGGAAACUUAUGCUAAUACCGGAUAGGGUUUUGCUUCACCUGAAGCGAAACGGAAAGAUGGCGCAAGCUAUCACUUACAGAUGGGCCUGCGGCGCAUUAGCUAGUUGGUGA